GAUGAACGCUGGCGGCGUGCCUAAUACAUGCAAGUCGAGCGAAUGGAUUAAGAGCUUGCUCUUAUGAAGUUAGCGGCGGACGGGUGAGUAACACGUGGGUAACCUGCCCAUAAGACUGGGAUAACUCCGGGAAACCGGGGCUAAUACCGGAUAACAUUUUGAACCGCAUGGUUCGAAAUUGAAAGGCGGCUGCGGCUGGCACUUAUGUCUGGACCCGCGUCGCAUUAGCUAGUUGGUGAGGUCACGGCUCACCAAGGCAACGAUGCGUAGCCGACCUGAGAGGGUGAUCGGACACACUGGGACUGAGACACGGCCCAGACUCCUACGGGAGGCAGCAGUAGGGAAUCUUCCGCAAUGGACGAAAGUCUGACGGAGCAACGCCGCGUGAGUGAUGAAGGCUUUCGGGUCGUAAAACUCUGUUGUUAGGGAAGAACAAGUGCUAGUUGAAUAAGCUGACACCUUGACGGUACCUAACCAGAAAGCCACGGCUAACUACGUGCCAGCCGCCGCAGUAA
rnacentral:rRNA from 1 species